CCUGGCCCCAGGUCUUUAGCCAGACUUAUUUUAGCCAUGUACGCAACUCACUUACAAUUAUUUUUGCUGCUUAUUUUGAGCAUUUGCCAGGGUUUGCGGGCGCAGACUUAUGAGGAGUUAAGGGAAAAUGGCGAACUAACGCCCAAAACUCUUUGUCUACGCGAUAUUACCGGACACGUAACUAUCUGUUACAAAUAAAAACUUUAACUGCAAAGAAAUGGUGUUUUUUUGUCUCAAAAUAAGCAAUAAACCAGAUUGUGUAUACGUCUACCAUUUUGUAGAUUCUCCAAUUUAUUUUCUGCAUUUGCGUACAUUUUUAUGGCACUGCCAGUACGUCUGUCUCCACAAUUUUCAUUUGCUUUUCUAUUUCGUUUUUGCCUUUUAUGGCCGCUCAGCACCAAAUCUUGAGCAAGAAAAUGUUCUUACUUUUUUUUUUGAAGCACAAAAAGUUUUAUUGUUUACUUUUUGGUGUGCUGAAAAUUUACGAGUCUUGAAGAGCAUGUGUGUGUACAUGUGUGUGCACAGUUCAUAGUCUAUAUAUUCCUGCUUUAUAAACGCACAAUUUUCAGUCUGAAAUCUGUGUAGCACACACUCUCGUAAAUAUUAAUUUACUUAACUUCAACUUGCGGCUCUAGUCGCUUAUUUUAUUUGUGUUUUAUUUUUUAUUUUUUCUGCACGUAGAUACUAAAAAUGAUGUCUGUCAUAAGCAUAAACUGAAUAGUUUAUUUCUAUUCUCCAGCCACCCCUGUUUUUCAGACCUUUCCAGCAGCCGUUUGCCCUUAAUUUAAUUAAUAAUGUCUAAAGGUUAAAAAGCGAUGAGAUUGCGAUUUCCUGCUAAUAAUUAUAGAUUUCAUGGCAUGCGAAAGUGUAAAUUUUUAGCAAAUAAACUUGUUACCUGGUAAACUUCUGAAGGAGAACUGCACAUAAAAUAAACUGUUAACUGUGUGUUGCAUUUAUUUUAUCCUUUUUGAAUGCAUAAUUUUUAGCAACACAAAAAAAAAACAUAUUUAAGUUUUAACAACUACUCAAAACAAUAAUUGCCGAAGAAGCACGUUUA